rnacentral:rRNA from 1 species
UACGUAGGGGGCAAGCGUUGUCCGGAAUUACUGGGCGUAAAGUGUGCGCAGGCGGCCGAGCAAGUCGAGUGUGAAAGCCCCGAGCUUAACUUGGGAACUGCGCUCGAAACUACUUGGCUAGAGUGUGGCAGAGGGAGGUGGAAUUCCACGUGUAGCGGUGAAAUGCGUAGAGAUGUGGAGGAACACCGAUGGCGAAGGCAGCCUCCUGGGCCAACACUGACGCUCAUGCACGAAAGCGUGGGGAGCAAACAGG